AGCAAUACAACUGGUGGCGACCGGCGCACGGGUGAGUAACGCGUAUGCAACCCAUCUAUCAGAGGGGAAUAACCCGGCGAAAGUCGGACUAAUACCGCAUAAAACAGGGACACCGCAUGGUGAUAUUUGUUAAAGAAAUUCGCUGAUAGAUGGGCAUGCGUUCCAUUAGGUAGUUGGUGAGGUAACGGCUCACCAAGCCGACGAUGGAUAGGGGAACUGAGAGGUUGGUCCCCCACACUGGUACUGAGACACGGACCAGACUCCUACGGGAGGCAGCAGUGAGGAAUAUUGGUCAAUGGGCGAGAGCCUGAACCAGCCAAGUCGCGUGAAGGAAGAAGGAUCUAUGGUUCGUAAACUUCUUUUGCAGGGGAAUAAAGUGCAGGACGUGUCCUGUUUUGUAUGUACCCUGAGAAUAAGGAUCGGCUAACUCCGUGCCAGCAGCCGCGGUAAUACGGAGGAUCCGAGCGUUAUCCGGAUUUAUUGGGUUUAAAGGGUGCGUAGGUGGUUUGAUAAGUCAGCGGUGAAAGUUUGCAGCUUAACUGUAAAAAUGCCGUUGAAACUGUCGGACUUGAGUGUAAAUGAGGUAGGCGGAAUGCGUGGUGUAGCGGUGAAAUGCUUAGAUAUCACGAAGAACUCCGAUUG
rnacentral:rRNA from 1 species